UUGAUGCUGCGCGGGUUGAUACAGAGUGUGAUUUUGGCCUUUUCAUGUCCGAUCAUUCACUUUUUGCUCAUGGUAAUGAUAUGCGAUCUUGCUUCUACCUGUUGGCAUUUUUCUCUUUUCCCUUUUAAAUUAAAUAUCAAAUAUGUAGUAGCACUAUUUCAUACAUAUCUGAGAUAUAUUUUAAGAAAGUAGUAGUAUGUUUAACUUAAUCUCACAAACCAUAAAUUUAAAUCUGCAUUUUUAUAACUAUUUUAUUUUUAUAUUAUAUGUUAAAUGAAUAUAAAAAUAUAUUAUAGUAACAUUACUCUUUAAAAUAUAUUAAUUUUUUUUAAAAAAUAUUAAUAAUACUAAAAAAGAUAAAACAAAAAAAAAUCUGGACUUGUUUUUUUUUUUAAAUGAGAUCCACCAGUUACAAUAUUUGAUGUGUUCCAAGUUUUUCAACCUUGUUAUAGCUUGACAAGGGAAACGACCAGAUUGAUGGACUUGGUGUCAUUGUUGGACAAAUGUUCUUCCACAUGUUGUGCAAACCUUCGAAAAAGCUCAUCCAUAAUGUGAGGUCCGAAAUGAGAUUCAAACAUGGACUCAAGUACAGCCCUUGCAGUUCUUGAAACUUUCUCUCCUCUCGAAUCACUCUGCAAUUCCAUUCCUCCAUCCCACUCUAUUUCAUAAGCAUCGUGUUCUUCUACCAUGAAUGACCCUUCCUUUUCAAUCACCUUUUUCACUUCUUCCAUGCAUGGCGCGUAGUACGGGGCAUCAAAACAAUCCACCUUUUUCUCUUCUAACAGACCCUACAUACACACCCCCAGAACAUUUUUCUCAUAUAUAUCACAUUACCAAUAAUAUAUAUAUGUAAAAUUUUUGGACUUUAGCAUACCUGAGAAACCAUGCUCAUAAGGGAGCGUGCUAAGAGUUCCCACUGAUAGCAACUGUGGUCGGAAGUUGGGUCGAUGGUUGUUCUUCCCAUGAAAGACAAGACCAUGCGUCCCCCAGUUACCAUUUCAUGCGAACGACAAGCAAUAAACGAUGAAAAAUCGUUCUUGAAUUGCUGAGAAUAAGCAUCCAGCACGCACUGAGGACUGCUCUUUGAUAUGUAGAUCUUUCCCUUGUUCAAUGCUCUUCCACUUCCGUCUUCUAAUCCAACAGGAGCCUUGCACCCCAACAACAACAACAAUCUGUCAAAACAUAUGUCCUACUUUCUUCUUUCUAUAUAAUCACAUCAAAAAAGUUCUUCACUCUCACAUUCAUUCCUUUUUUCUUUUUUUUGGCGUUGUUCCUUAAUUCUUCAGUAUAUGCCUCUUCACAAUGUUCCAAAAACGUGGAUACAAUCAAAGUUCAAACCCCAUCUCUCUUUGUCCUUAGUUUUAUCAGAUAACUACUUUUACAACAGAGAAAUUCGGUCUACACAAUUUGAACAAAGACAACUGAUAACCAAACAAUGGAUUAUCUUUAUUGUUUAAUUCAAAAACAUUUCCAUUCAAUUACAAAUCAUUAUACAUAGUAGAUUAUUACUUUUUAUAUCAGUUACUUUAAAAUAUAUAUAUAUAUAUAUAUAUAUAUAUAUAUAUAUAUAUAUAUAUAUAUAUAUAUAUAUAUAUAUAAAACAAUUUUUAAUUAAUUCACAAUAUAUUUUUUUAUAUGAACUAAUUAGCAUUCUAUAUAUGUAUAAAAGUUAAACUGAAAUGUCUUUUAUAAAAGACAAAAAAUUUUUCUUGAGGACAAUGCUGUUUUAGUUUAAUAUAACAGUCAAAAUAUAACCCAAAUAGUUAAGUGAAGUAGGUUUAAUCAGUUAGUUGAUUGAUGCAUCUGUGUUCUUUUCUCUGCUGUUUAAUUAACUUCUGCUCAAAUACUUAGUAAUGUAUGGUGUGUGUGUGUACAUAUAUAUACCUGAGAAAGCCAAUGGAGGCUGGAAGAAGAGUGCACAAAGUGGAGGGUCUUGGCAGGGAAAAGCCUUCCAUAGAAGGUGCCAGGGACAGCUGUAACAAAACAGGAUCCAAACCCACUUCCCUUUUCUUGCCUUUGUUUUCUGUAGAAAGAUGGCAAUGAAGCAAAGAUGUUGUUGAAGUCAUUGGCGAAGAGGUCGUUCAAAUACACCACCAACUCCGGCGGCGGCCGCUCCAACAGACGCGUGGUGGCGUAGACGCCAUCCACGAUCUCAGAAAUCACCCUCAAGGCAUUAGGGCCGGAGGAACAACCCAUAUCAGCAAUGCCCAUCUUCUCAGGCCAACUCGUGCACAGAAUUUGAACAAUGGCUUUUUUCCUCCAUGC
rnacentral:lncRNA from 1 species